AACGAACGCUGGCGGCAUGCCUAACACAUGCAAGUCGAACGAGACCUUCGGGUCUAGUGGCGCACGGGUGCGUAACGCGUGGGAACCUGCCCUUAGGUUCGGAAUAACUCAGAGAAAUUUGAGCUAAUACCGGAUAAUGUCUUCGGACCAAAGAUUUAUCGCCUUUGGAUGGGCCCGCGUAGGAUUAGCUUGUUGGUGGGGUAAUGGCCUACCAAGGCGACGAUCCUUAGCUGGUCUGAGAGGAUGAUCAGCCACACUGAGACUGAGACACGGCCCAGACUCCUACGGGAGGCAGCAGUGGGGAAUAUUGGACAAUGGGCGAAGGCCUGAUCCAGCAAUGCCGCGUGAGUGAUGAAGGCCUUAGAGUUGUAAAGCUCUUUUACAAGGGAUGAUAAUGACAGUACCUGGAGAAUAAGCACCGGCUAACUCCGUG
rnacentral:rRNA from 1 species